GAUGAACGCUGGCGGCGUGCCUAAUACAUGCAAGUCGAGCGAACGGACGAGAAGCUUGCUUCUCUGAUGUUAGCGGCGGACGGGUGAGUAACACGUGGAUAACCUACCUAUAAGACUGGGAUAACUUCGGGAAACCGGAGCUAAUACCGGAUAAUAUUUUGAACCGCAUGGUUCAAAAGUGAAAGACGGUCUUGCUGUCACUUAUAGAUGGAUCCGCGCUGCAUUAGCUAGUUGGUAAGGUAACGGCUUACCAAGGCAACGAUGCGUAGCCGACCGGAGCGGGUGAUCGGCCGGGCGGGAGCUGAGACACGGUCCAGAGUCCUACGGGAGGCAGCAGUAGGGAAUCUUCCGCAAUGGGCGAAAGCCUGACGGAGCGACGCCGCGUGAGUGAUGAAGGUCUUCGGAUCGUAAAACUCUGUUAUUAGGGAAGAACAUAUGUGUAAGUAACUGUGCACAUCUUGACGGUACCUAAUCAGAAAGCCACGGCUAACUACGUG
rnacentral:rRNA from 1 species